rnacentral:lncRNA from 1 species
UUUGGUGAGGGUGAGGUAAGAGAUUGCAGAGAGAGUGAAUUCGUGCAAAUGCCAAGGGUUCUCAAAUGAUGCUGAUGAUUGCCCUUAAGUAGAUAUGUGGUUUGGGAUUUGGUUAGGCUUGGAAUUAGGUUAGGGUUCUGUUAGAGAGAGGCUUGGAGUCAGUUGGGCUUAACUCAUUGAGUUAACUGAAAAACUCAGUUAGUUCCUCUUGACUCG